AGUGAACGCUGGCGGUAGGCCUAACACAUGCAAGUCGAACGGCAGCACAGUAAGAGCUUGCUCUUACGGGUGUCGAGUGGCGGACGGGUGAGGAAUACAUCGGAAUCUACUUUUUCGUGGGGGAUAACGUAGGGAAACUUACGCUAAUACCGCAUACGACCUACGGGUGAAAGCAGGGGAUCUUCGGACCUUGCGCGAUUGAAUGAGCCGAUGUCGGAUUCGCUCGUUGGCGGGGUAAAGGCCCACCAAGGCGACGAUCCGUAGCUGGUCUGAGAGGAUGAUCAGCCACACUGGAACUGAGACACGGCCCAGACUCCUACGGGAGGAAGCAGUGGGGAAUAUUGGACAAUGGGCGCAAGCCUGAUCCAGCCAUACCGCGUGGGUGAAGAAGGCCUUCGGGUUGUAAAGCCAUUUUGUUGGGAAAGAAAAGCAGCAGGUUAAUACCCCGCUGUUCUGACGGUACCCAAAGAAUAAGCACCGGCUAACUUCGUG
rnacentral:rRNA from 1 species